GUUUCAUAAAAACUUUGGAUAGGAUCCAAAAUGUUUACGACUUGCAUGGAAGGUCCAAAAUCAAAAACUUCCUUUGAUUUUAGUCCAAAAAAACUUGAAAUGACGGUUAUGCCCUUUUAUUUUCUUUUUUGUAUUUUUUAUAAUUAACUUAAUACAAUUUUAACUUAAAAAAGGAAAGAAAAGGAUUAUCCCCAACCAUCUCUCUCUCCUCUCUCUCUCCACCACAAUAAACACACAUUCUCACAUAUAUCAUUGUCUCUCUCCUCUCUCUCUCUCUCCACCACAAUAAACACACAUUCUCACAUAUAUCAUUGAUGCAGAUUCAUCACCACCCCAUCCCAUCUUCUUCUUCCUCAUAUUUACCUGCAACUGAAACCUCUCACAUAUGCAUCCUGAAAAUCAAAUCUCUCACAAACAAAACCCGCUAACAGAGGUGUUGGUUCUAAGAAUCAAGACAUCUAAUGACAUCGCUCAGCCAUCGCUUCGUCUUCUUCGACAUUGUUUUAAAUAUUCUUCGGGGGUUUCAGUUUACAUCAUCUCAUCUUUUGGGUUUUUGAUUUCCACAAAGCGGGGAAAGAAAAUUGGAAUCAUAUGCUUCUAAAUAGAUCAGAAAAAGAAGAAGGAAAACAAUGCACUCCAGGUGCUCGAUGAAACACCUGAAAGAAAAGUACCAUCAGAUAUUUCAAUACAUGAAAGAAAAGUAUCUUUACUGAGGAUCUAGAAAUGAAAUACUUCUAAAAUACAAACACAUAUCAUAAGAGAAAAGUAAAGGAAUCGAGAAUGAGUUCAUUGUUCAGCCAAGAAGGAAUCUGGAGUAUGUUGCAGUCAUAAAAGAUAGAUCAGAAGAAGAAGUUUAACCUUAUUGAACAUGUUGAGAGGAAUAUGAUUGGGUUUUUUAAUUGAAGAAUUUGCUUUUUUGGGUUAACUUAUGUGUAUUAUCUAGUAGCAAAAUUGUAAAAAAAUCUGGGUUUUUUCAUCGAUUUGUAGAUCACAGAAGAAGAAGAAGAAGAAGAAGAAGAAGAAGAAGAGAGAGAGAGAGAGAGAGAGAGAGAGAGAGUAUGUGUGUGUGUGUGAGUAAGUAUGGUGGGGUGGUUCGUAGCAAAUUGUUGUUUUUUGUUUUUGUUUUAAAUCAAAAUAGUAUUAAAAUAAUUGUAAAAAAGAAAAUGAAAGGGCAUAACCGUCUUUUCAAGUUUUUUUGGACCAAUAUCAAAGAAAAUUCUUGAUUUUGGACCUUCCAUGCAUGUCGAAAACUUUUUGGACCCUAUCCAAAGUUUUUUGAAUACCACAGGGACCAAAUUUA